GCUCGCCGUUGCUAGCAAAGGGGCUCCUCUCAUCCCAAACCCUGCCGCUAUGCUGUUCACCUUCAGGUCUUUUUUUUUUUUUUUUUUUGGCACUCAUUUGCCCAAGACGAUAACUCACAAAACGCCCUGUGGCCCGACUGUCACGACUGUAGUUCGCCAACCAAGGGCAUUUCCUGGAAAUGCAAGGGGACACGUAUCUGUGACACUAAUGGCCGUUCUGACGUGCGUUACGCCCCUGGAAGGACUUGGAAAUACUGAACUUGAGUGAGCACUGGGAGGAUGGAGACCCUCAUCCUGGGAGGAGUCACUCCUCCCGCAGCCAUCACAGCCUGACGCCCCCUCUCCCCAGAAGUGCUUCUUAGGCCCACCCAAAAGGGCAAUGGACCUCUCUGUAUGCAAGCCAGAGCAGUCUACUGUUUGUGUAUAUUUGGGUUGUUUACUUUCUUUUUAACACUUAAAUGUUAAUUGACUUCAAUCAUUUUUAAAAUUAUAAAUAGUGUCGCUAUAGACUUUUUUGUACUUAUUAAGUACUGACCUGCAUGAUCUUCGUGAAGCAGUGCUUCUGUUACCAGAAAGGGGUCCGGAUCCGACCCCAAGAGAGAGUUCUUAGAGCUCACGCAAGAAAAAAUCCAUGGGAGAGCACAGUGCAAAGCCAAAGCAAGUGUAUUAAGAAAGUAAAGAAACAAUGGGUACUCCAUUGUUAGAGCAGCAGCUUGGGCUGCUGGACUAGGGAUACUUGUAUUUAUUGCUUGAUGAUGUGCUAAACAAGGGUGGAUUAUUCAUGAGUUUUCCAGGAAAGAGGUGGGCAAUUUCAAUUUCUCGGAGCUGAGGGCUUCCCAGCUUUUUGAACCAUACAGGGUAACUUCUGAACCUUACCAUGGCAUUUGUAAAUUGCCAUGGCACUGAUGAGCGUUUCUCUUAGCGUGCUAAUGCAUAUAAUUAGCAUAUAACCGAGAGGUGAAGCCAGCUGGGCUUCUGGAUCAGGUGGGGCCUUGGAGAACUUUUCUGUAUAGCUGAAGGAUUGUAAAUACACCAAUCAGUGCUCUGUGUCUAGCUAAAGGUUUGUAAAUGCACCAGUCAGCACUCUGUAAAAACGGACCAAACAGCACUCUGUAAAAUAGACCAAUCAGCGCUCUGUAAAAUGGACAAAUCAGCAGGAUGUGGGCGGGGCCAAAUAAGGGAAUAAAAACGGGCCACCCGAACAACCAGCGGCAACCGCGCUGGGGUCUACUUCCCAGGUGUGGGAUGUUUGUUCUUUUGCUCUUUGGGUCUGCACUACCUUUAUGAGCUGCAACACUCACCCUGAAGGUCUGCAGCUUCACUCUUGAAGCCAGCGAGACCACAAACCCACUGGGAGGAACGAACAACUCCAGACACGCCGUCUUUAGGAGCUGUAACACUCACUGUGAAGGUCUGCAGCUUCACUCCUGAAGCCAGCGAAAUCAUGAACCCACCGGGAGGAACAAACAACUCCAGCACGACUCCAGACGCACCGCCUUUAUGAGCUGUAACACACACCGCGAGGGUCUGCAGCUUCACUCCUGAAGCCAGCCAGACCAGGAACCCACCAGAAGGAACCAAUUCCGGACACAUAACAAGCAGCAGUGAGGACACCAAAGCCAAGCCACGCCACCCGGGCCCGCCCCCAGGACACGGAGUUUAAGGACCGCGUCUCCCGAGAUGCCAGAGGGACCUGCGUCCGCACUGCCCCAGUGUGACCCGCAUACCUACCGGCCCCGACCCCGAACCGCGUGGCGUCCGCCCGAGCCCUGGCGCUGCUGGGUCUCCUGCUGCUGCCGCUGCUCGCAGCCCAGGAAACUCUGCCCGCAGCUUAUGACGGUCAUUAACCAGUUUCUGACCAAGGACAAGGACACCUACAUGGACACUGUCAACAGAUACCACCUCACGGAGCCGGAAAGAAACACAUCCUCUAAACUCAAGGACUGCGUGACCGACACAAUGACCCCCGAGGAGACAGAGGCCGUCGUGCAGCAACUGGCACCUCGGGUUCCUGUCCAGGCUGCCUGUCCCAACCAUGAGAAUCUGGGCCCAGGGCCCCACCCUCCCUAGCUCCCGCCCUGCUGCUGCCUCUACUCUCUCUCCUGCUGUGCUGAUUGGGGCAAGCCUGGGAACGGCUGCCCCCCACCUCCCCACCCAGGCCUGUCCCCUGCGGGACAAUGCUGCCUAAUAAACUCACCUGCAUCC
rnacentral:lncRNA from 1 species